UACGAAGGGGGGCUAGCGUUGCUCGGAAUCACUGGGCGUAAAGGGUGCGUAGGUGGUGAGGUAAGUCGGAUGUGAAAGCUCCGAGCUCAACUCGGAAAUGGCAUUGGAAACUACCUUGCUCGAGGGUUUGAGGGGGGACUGGAAUACUUGGUGUAGCAGUGAAAUGCGUAGAUAUCAAGUAGAACACCAGUGGCGAAGGCGAGUCCCUGGAAAACUCCUGACACUGAGGCACGAAAGCUAGGGGAGCAAACAGG
rnacentral:rRNA from 1 species